rnacentral:rRNA from 1 species
UACGUAGGGUCCGAGCGUUGUCCGGAAUUACUGGGCGUAAAGAGCUCGUAGGUGGUUUGUCGCGUUGUUCGUGAAAACCCGCAGCUCAACUGUGGGCUUGCAGCUGAUACGGGCGGGCUGGAGUUCGGUAGGGGAGACUGGAAUUCCUGGUGUAGCGGUGAAAUGCGCAGAUAUCAGGAGGAACACCGGUGGCGAAGGCGGUUCUCUGGGCAUGACCUGACGCUGAGGAGCGAAAGUGUGGGGAGCGAACAGG